UCGAUCGGCCGGACGGCCGCUCCCGCUAGCGCCGAAAGGCCGCGGGGGAGGAAAGUCCGGGCUCCAUGGACAAGCGGUGCCGGAUAACGUCCGGCGGGGUCUCUUCCGCGCAAGCGGAGCGGACUUCAGGGAAAGUGCCACAGAGAACGAACCGCCGCGUCUUUUCUUGCCUUCCGGCGCUUGCGCUUGGAAGGGUAGACGCGGCAAGGGUGAAAAGGUGCGGUAAGAGCGCACCGCGCCGUCAGCAAUGACGGCGGCAGGGCAAACCCCACCGGGAGCAAGACCGAAUAGGAGCGGCGGAAGCGGAAGGUUCGCGCAAGCGAUAACGUCCGCGAGGCAUGUCUGGCCUUGCCGUUCGGGUAGGUUGCUUGAGGCCGCGUGCAAGCGCGGUCCCAGAGGAAUGGCCGUCACGUGCCGUUUCGCGAAAGCGGGCGACGCCAUACAGAACCCGGCUUACAGGCUGAUUGACGCU
rnacentral:RNase_P_RNA from 1 species